GCGUCCUGCUAUUUUAUUGACAGCCACGUUGAAGAAAUAACCUCGGAAAUUACUGAACACGUCGUCAAUUUUUUACCGAAGAAACUGUAAUUUUUGACAGUUCAUAUUAAUUUUUGUUUACUGAGCGUUCGGUAAUCCAAAAAAUUACCGGGCUCAUUACCGAACGCUCAGCUGUUUGAAAACCCGGUAAAAUUUUACCGACCCCAGUAAUCUGAGUUUACUGUGCAUGCUCAUCAAGUGGGGCUGAAUCUGGGAAUGUAUCCAGAAUCCCAGAGCUGAAUGCUUACAUCCGUCUGUGUCUGUCUGUUGUCUUGCGGAGCAAAUCGAACCCGACGAAGUGGUGCUUUUGUUAAUUUCUCGCAUUCAUCGAAACGAAUGCCAGCCAGCUUUGGGGAAUUUUUCAUGACACACACAUCUCGGAUAACCGAUACUCGAUUAGCAACAUUAGCACGGAUUACACACAUGAAUGAGAGCGAGGGGAUCAGAGAUGUUUCACAAGCUAAAUUUCAGAAGAUCGAACAGAGAUAUCAUUCACCCAGUAGCACGAUCAUUCACCCGUUUCGAAAACUCCAUUUAAUCACUGCACUUCACCACCUGAGGUAUGUGAAGUCCAAAAAUGUUUCACCGGCGCUAAUGAAGCGUUCACGGUAACUGUAAUUAGUAUAGACAGGAUGCAGGUUUCACGCAGCAAAUCCCAGUUGAAAUAAGCUUCCAUCAGAACUUCUUAUAAGGUGAAGAUUUACAUUUUAAUAAAGCGCGGUAUUGAAGAAUGAUGGAGACGGUAAAGCUAAAACGACCAAUUGGACAACACCUCUAUUCCUGGGCUGCAUGACUACGAUGAUCCGCCAGACGCACCUGUAUGCCACAUUCGAGGCCGCAUUACAAAGAGAAGUCGGGCAAACUCCUGCUGGCCCUAUCCACCCGGUAUUACAAGCGACCGGUAUAAUGCCGUACACGCCCAAUGUUCCGGUCGGGAGAAAUCAGACCCGGUGUCACCAAACUAAAAACGAUACACACUGCGUGCAGCAUCAGAAGCACGCCGCAGCACAUCUUUGUCCAUCUUUGAACUAGUUCAUACCAUUAUUUUAUUAUUAAUAAACAUAAAAAUGUAAAAUAAAAAAAGUAUUCUGAA